rnacentral:lncRNA from 1 species
GACCUGAGACUCCCUGGGGUGAAGGGAAAUGCCACAGACAUCCAUGGUCUUGGAUGCUCAACAGAAGUGCUUGCCUUGGUGAUCCAAAAAAGGCAGGAUCCGGCCGGGGGCAAGGUGAUUAUUCUGUCUGAUGAGGAGAAUAAGAGCCAGUUUGUGGUAUUGACAGAAGAAUGAAAGUAAAGUCUUGAAAGAUGGGAAGAUCAGGAGCAGUCUGGAGUCAUGGUAUAUGAAUGAACUAGUGAGAGUGGGCACAAAGUCUGAAGAUCUUUGUAGUGCAGCUAAUGUCUAAGGGAGAAUAUACCUACCCUAGAAGAGACAUUAAACAACCAGUUCAACCAAUCUACAAAGGCCAAAAAUAUUUUCACAGGCCCCCAAAAGAUGAACUCCAAUCUGCUGCCCCUAAACGCAUUCUCCACUGUCUGGAAGAUGUGCAAAGGCAACGGCACAGCGUUCUCCAUCUCAAAUCCUUCAAAGUGCUGUCAGAAUAAAAGAAUCCCCACCAAAAGCCCCAGGGAAAUCUAUCUGUCUGUAUGGUAUGGUAAUGACUGAGGUUAUUCCAGAUAGGAUUCUGGGAGAAACUCAGCUAUUGAAAUCUAAUGAAUGGAACUGAGAAUUUCUUGUUAUAA